rnacentral:antisense_RNA from 1 species
AUGGCGGCCAGGUCGCCUGCUCGGGCCUCCCAGGCGACUUUGCCCCACUGCGCCCGCGCUCUCUUCUCCUUUCCAUUUCUGGACCAAGGGGCUGCCAUAAGGAGUCUGUGACUAGAGAUGGGAGGUGGUGGCCACGGCCUCUCGCUGUAUGCUGUGUGGAAGGUCGAAUCAUCAUCAUCAUAAAACUUAAUAUUGCCCUUAUGUGCCAGGAACUACUAUCUCAGCAAUGGAGAUGUGGUGCUUGGCCGCAAUCGUGAAUCGGCCCUGGAGGGGACACAGGAAGGGGCUGCCUGCGACUCAUGACCUCCUGCGUGCCUGCCUGCUGACCUAUGACCCUUCAAGUUCCCACCCCUCAGCCACGCCUGUGAGGAGGGUCUUGUUUUGUCACCUACGCUGGAGUGCAGUGGUGUGAUCACAGCUCACUGCAGCCUCAACUUCCUGGACUCAAGCGAUUUUCCUGCCUCAACCUCCCAAGAACUAGGACCCCAGAUCCCCAUGGACAAGGCACUUGCAUGAAUUGUGAGGCUCAUGGAGUUGGGGUCGGACAACACAGAGCCGGCUCCCUCCAGGAGCUGCAUGUCCAGAGAGGGAAACAGGAUGUGGACAGCAAGAAUGAAUACAUGCAGACCA